rnacentral:ncRNA from 2 species
CAACAUAUAAGGGGAGCAGGUGCUUUGCGUAAUAGCAAAGCUUAAUAGGGAAACCGUUCGAAGCCGACGCGUCCCGCCACUGUUACAGACGAGGUGCAGUUCAGGAAGCCACUGGUCGAACGACCGGGGAACGAGAAGGCCGCCGCCACCGAUGACGCUGAAGCCAGGAGACCUGCCUGUUCUGACAGCACUGU